rnacentral:ncRNA from 2 species
GCCGUUCCGGCCCCGUGGUGGACUGCCCGAGCCAUGUACGGCGGCAGGAGAGGAAGCCCGGUGUGAAUCCGGCGCGGUCCCGCCACUGUGACCGGGGAAGAACAGCCCCGGGAGCCAGGAACUCUCACCGCCGGUCUCGUCGAA